AGCUCCAAGAAUACACGGAGGAGGUGGCCCGGGUCGGCGUCGGCGCCAUCCGGCGUGGGCCAUAGGCCCGCUUCCAAGUGCAUCUGCGCGCCGGCCACCCACGUCGGGUCCUUCAAGUGCCGCUUCCACCGCACCAACUCCCAGGGCCACAGCCACGGCCAGGGCCAGGGAAGCCGCAUUUCUUCGCCCCCUUCACCAGCCGCGGCCAACGCGGUGCCACGGCACCCGGCCUUGCCGUCCUCGUCCACUGGCACCGUCGCGAUCCAAUGA
rnacentral:rRNA from 1 species